GUCGAGCGAGAAAUCCGGGGCUUGCCCCGGGUGGAGAGCGGCGAACGGGUGAGGAACACGUGAGGAACCUGCCCCGAAGACCGGGAUAACACCGGGAAACCGGUGCUAAUACCGGAUGCCCUCACCGGAUCACAAGAUGCGGUGAGGAAAUGGAUUCCGCCUCGGGAUGGUCUCGCGGCCUAUCAGCUUGUUGGUGGGGUAACGGCCUACCAAGGCUUCGACGAGUAGCUGGUCUGAGAGGAUGUCCAGCCACACUGGGACUGAGACACGGCCCAGACUCCUACGGGAGGCAGCAGUAGGGAAUCUUGCGCAAUGGGCGAAAGCCUGACGCAGCGACGCCGCGUGCGGGAUGAAGGCCUUCGGGUCGUAAACCGCUUUCAGCAGGGACGAAAUUGACGGUACCUGCAGAAGAAGGCCCGGCCAACUACGUGCCAGCAGCCGCGGUAAUACGUAGGGGCCAAGCGUUGUCCGGAUUUAUUGGGCGUAAAGAGCUCGUAGGCGGUUCGGUUAGUCGGAUGUGAAAUCUCCACGCUCAACGUGGAGGCGCCAUCCGAUACUGCCGUGACUCGAGUCCGGUAGGGGUGUGUGGAAUUCCCGGUGUAGCGGUGAAAUGCGCAGAGAUCGGGAGGAACACCCGUAGCGAAGGCGGCACUCUGGGCCGGUACUGACGCUGAGGAGCGA
rnacentral:rRNA from 1 species